AGCCCUUGAGAAGGCCUAAGAUAAUGCCUCUGUGAUCAGGAAAGUUUCUAACAUUUGUGACCAAAACAACGGUGUUGGGGAAGUUUUGUGCAUUGGCUGAAAUGUAGAUGUAAAUAAACAUUACCCACAACUGAGGCUUGGGGACAAACUCAGUAACAGAGAGCCAUAUCAUGAAGUAGCUGAAGAAGUUUAGGGUUAAGCCUAUAAGGAAGAGCAACCAUGGGGGAGCGACCUCGGCAAAAAGUCCGGCAAAAACUCCAAGGUUGGAACCGAGAUCUUUAGCGAAGCCUAAGGUGUUAAGUUGGGUUUGAUUGUAAUUAAAUUUGGUCUUUAAAAGUUUGGAGUAUGUUCCAAACAAGUAAGGUGAACCGCAGCCAAUCAUGACAAGAAACGAUGCAAAUACGAUGCAUCCUCGGAUGACUUUUCCUUAGACAACAAAGCAACCGUAAGUUUUAGUAUGUUGUUAUUAUUGUAUGGAUGUACCCUAACAAGAAAGGAAAGAGAAAGUUGAUCAAAGAUGAGUUUUCAAUUUUCAUCAAUCAACUCAAAUCCAGAGCGGGGUGAGAAAGAAGAAAAAUAUAUUGAGAUAACAAUAUUCAAUAAAAUUACUAAAGCAUCUGUUUGACCCAAACAAAAUAACAAUGGGAGUAACGGAAUUUGAAAAUUUUGGAUCUUAUAUAUAGUUGGUGUUAUUACUAAAUAUUGUUUUUGUUUCCAAUCUUUUCAAAUAUAUAUGUAAUAUUUAGUAACAUAUCUAGAUGUAAUCUUUAGUAACAUAUUUAGAUGUAAUAUUUGGUAACAUAUUUAGAAAUUUGACCGAAUGAUGGUAGAAUUGUGAAUGUCAUUUCAAAUACUUUUCUUCUCAAAUAUGUGCAAAUUUUGAAAUUGGAUCUUAGUGUUGCGUUAUUGUAAAUGUUAUUUAAUUUGGUAAUAUAGUGAGUGUAACGCCCAACAAAUUCGUUUUUUUUGUUCAUUGUCAUUAAUAUUUAAGUGUGGUUAUGGGAAUUUUUAAAUUUAUUGGAAGAACCUUACCAUUUUGAUUUCUCGAGUAAUUAAGGUUGGGAAUCCUUAUUUUGUUUAAGAUAAUAAGUUUUUUUUAUUAUUUUUAUUGGAAAUAAUUGGGGAAGUCUUUAUUAAACUAAAGUUGGUUGUUUUUGGUGAGAUUUGGGGAGAGAGAGGAGGUGGUUGUUUUGGGUUAUUUAAAAGGAAAAGAAAAGAGUUAUUUUCUUAUAAAAAGCCUUGGGACUCGUGCAUAAAGAGGAAGAGAAAAAAAAUCAAAGAAAGAAAGAGGGGAAAAGAAAAGAGAAAAAGGGAGAAAAUCUUUUUUAUUAUUAAUCAAACCCUAGCCGCCGCACGCCGCACGCCGCGAACCCGAGCCGCCAAGCCUUUCCCUCUCUGUUCAGCAGCGCAGCCGAGUCUGCAGUCGAAACCGAGCCGUCGCCGAGCUUCCAGCCGCGUCGGAAGAAUCGUCCAAGCCGAUCCGCGCACGCCGAGCGUCCGUCGGAGCAGCCGUCUCUCGCAGCCGUCGCCCGAAGCCGAGCCGCGUCACCCUUCGCGAUCCGCAGUCGAACCGUCAGCCAGCCGCGUCGCGCCGCUUCGAUCCGACGCAGCGCAGCCGAAACGCUCGUUUGCAGCCGUCGUCGAGCGAAGCCGUGGUAGCCGGACCACCAGCAGCCGCCGCGCCACCCGAAAUCCGGAAGCCAGCGCCUCGCGCGCAAAGAUCCGACCGAAAACCCGCUCCGCGACCCGAACCGACGCGCGCCGUCUUCCGGAACCCGACCCGCGCCCGUGUGCAUCCGCGUGUGAGCCGCGUCCGCGUGUGAGCCGCGUCCGCGUGUGAGCCGCGCCGCGCGCUUCUGCGUAGCCGAGUCGCGCCCGCGUGCAAGCCGCGCCGCCUGCACCACAACCUGAGCCGCGUCUCCCUCCUGUCGCAAGCCGAGCCGCACGCGUAAAGUUCCUGUACCGAGCCGAGUCGAGCCACGCCUGCGCCAAGCCGAGCCGGUCCCUGCCCUUUUUCCAGCCAAGCCGCCAAGACUAAUUUGGCUCCAUCCACCUAAAUUUUGGGAUGUCUUGGACCAAGUAACUGCUGCAGCGUGGGAUUUCUUCAGUAGGGGCUUGAGCACUGCAACCUCUUUCUAGGUUAGGACCUCGUCGCUUGGAAAACAUACUGCCUCGCGGUUAGGACUCGUCAAGUAAAUCUCCAGGUAGAGGACGAGGCAAGGGCAAAGGCAAGCUGGCGAGCGACCCGAAGUGACCGUGGCGGGCCAUAGGGACUACUGCUUCCGCUUAUCUUUAUUUUAGACUUUCGUACCUGAGUUUGAGCAUUCUUCAGUACUUAUCAUCUUAUUAUGUAGAUAGGGCCCGAGUAGGACUUUAGAACGCAUUACAUCUUUUUGCAUAACUACCUUGUUUGAAUUUUCAUAAAUAAAAUUUCUCAAACCUUAUGCGUUUUGAAUAAA